AGAGUGCCUGUCCUCCUUGGGCUGCUGUCUUGGGGUCCUCCACAUCACAUCAUGAGAACUGUUAUGGAGACUCUCCCCGCCCGGAGAAAAAUGAAGAAAAAAUACCUUUUUCGGGGAAUAGAGGACUUAAGGAAUCUGUUCUGGUAGAAACUGUUUCACUUGCAAUUUCAACCCCACUUGAGUUUGUUGGUUGGGCUUCGUGGUUUCUAAAGUCCUUGGAAUUGGUGCCCAGCAUGAAGAGUUUAAGUCAAAGUUAGGUAAGCAACUUAUACCUGUACAUGUUCCAGUUUAUUAAGUGCUUUCCUGAGCCUUUAGAGUAAUCCUAUGGGGGAUGUCCAAAGAGAGGUUUAUUUUCUCAUGAACUGAAGAAACUAAAGCUUGGCGAGGUCACAAAUAUACCUAGUGGCAAAACCAGAACUUAAAUCUAGUUCUUUUGAUUCCAAAGCAAAGUUUGGUUCUUGCCAGUAUACCUUAUCAUAAUGAUAUCGGUAUUUGUGUGGUGUCCAUUUUCCAAUAGGCAGUUGUUAAAGGAAAAUUUGUGGUACAUAAAUACAUAAAAGCUGAAUUAAACACAAAUGGAGCCCCUAAAAUGGGAUAAAGGAAGGGGAUAUAAUGUAAUGGUUUCUCAAGUUACUUGCACAAGAAAUUGUUUUUUUCCCAAAUGAUCCCAUGAAUACAUUUUCGGAGUAAGACUGUUUUGCAAAUGUUAACUUAAGAUAAAUUACCAGAAGUUUUCUUCCUUUAAUUUAAAUCCUCUUUCCAUUUCAGGUAUCUUGUGUUUUGUAGUAAACUGAGUCUGUUUUGGGGGUUCUUCUAUCUCCCCUUCCAAUUCCCCUCUCAAUUCGCCUGUGUUGGCACCCCAUUUAUUAGUUUAGGCCAAAUUCCUUAUUUUAUUCUUAUCAGAUCUUAUUCCCCAUCUCAGAAUAUUUGUUGAUUUUCAGAAAUUAACCUCAGGUAUUAAAUCUCUUAGCCAUAUCUGCAUUUUAAUGGAGAAUUAUUUGGAGAGUGAAAAUAAUUCAGCCUACAGAGAAUGAAUUCUAAUGUGACAUUUCAGACACCAUAUCAAAUGGUGGGGAAAGUGCUUUUUAAAUAUGAAACUGUAUUUAUUCCUAGGAAACCAAUGUGUUUGGGGCAGUUUUAGGGAUAUCUGGUGAUGAGGUUAAGUCUGUGAUUCAGUUUAAUCCCCAUUAGAGCUCAGGGAUGUUAGAGACUGUAUUAUAUUUAAUUGAAGAAAAUUAGAUCAGGAGUGUGACAAGUUAGGGAUACAAUCUCAGGGAACAUGG
rnacentral:lncRNA from 9 species